ensembl:snoRNA SNORA70 Small nucleolar RNA SNORA70
CUGGAGCCAAUUAAGUCGGGCGUGUUCUCCUUCCCAUGGAGCCCAGCGUGCAAUGGCUACCAACAGCAGCCUCCUGGAUAAUAAAUCCAUACGGCCUGUUGCUUGUAGAGCUUGUCCAGAGACUGAGAGACAGCC